rnacentral:rRNA from 1 species
UACGGGGGGGGCAAGCGUUGUUCGGAAUUACUGGGCGUAAAGGGUUUGUAGGUGGCUUGCUAAGUCAGACGUGAAAUCCCUCAGCUUAACUGGGGAACUGCGUCUGAGACUGGCAAGCUCGAGUGCAGGAGAGGAACGCGGAAUUCCAGGUGUAGCGGUGAAAUGCGUAGAUAUCUGGAGGAACACCGGUGGCGAAGGCGGCGUUCUGGACUGUAACUGACACUGAUGAACGAAAGCCAGGGGAGCAAACGGG